UUUUCAACUAACCUGCGCUCAUAUGUGUUAUCUGAGCCGCUGUAAACUUACGCCGUUUCGAACUAAUUACGUCCACAGGUGUUAUCUGAGCCGUUGUAAAAUUUAAGCCCUUAUUUUAGCUAUUUUACGCCAGAUGUUAUCCGAGCCGUUAUAAAGUGCAAACAAUCAACUAAUCUUACGUCCACAGGUGUAAUCGGAGUCGUUUCAUGGAUAAUCCCGACUAGCUAGUCUACAGCUACUACUACUACUACUACAAUUUGACAGUUUGACGCGUGGCGGUGGGUACUGGACGUUGUACUUGUACCGGUGUAUAUGUAAACAGUGUUUGUGUUCAACUGGAGGCACCAUUUCUAGCCUCCAUUAUGGACGACAUAGUUUUUAGGUCUGGAUCCAUGACAAACUUACAAAUUUGUGGAUUCUACUCUCCUGUGGUUGCUUGGUGCACUGCAGUGCGUGUUGAUCCACCAGGUUGAGAAUGGUGCCAUGACCAGGGCAGUGGUUAAUGACUAGGAUUUACAACCACUUCUAAAAGAAGCUGCAAUCGUGUAACUUAAGUUCGGUAUAUGUGAUGUAGAGGUGCAGGUUGGAAGCACAGAAUCCAUCAUUCAGAAAUGUAUUGUCCAAUAAUGUCAGCAGCUAUGAGUAAGAUCAGUCAUAUCCUGUAGGGUCCAGUUUGAUAUUGACAGUUUAAAAUGUAUGGAACAUCAACAGUACUCUUAGCCUAUAUAUUUGGAUUAUGUGGCUGCCUAGAUUCUCGGUUAUUGAUCACCUUAUAUAUCUACAGCCUUAGUUUGGCGAACGAAGUCUUCUUAGAUUUUCAAGCAUCGAACAUCAUCUAACAGCCAAAUGCAUUUGGAGUGUUGGUCAUCUCAUUCGUAUGGUAAUACCAAGUGCCAACACUCACGAGUGUCUGAUCUGAGGAGGAUGUGAGGCGAUUUUAAUGAGCAAGGUUUCCAGCUGGAGGAAUCGAGACGAGUUCCGUCACUCCCAGUGGCUGACCUAAUGGGAUGGUUUUAUUUGGCAAGUUCUCCCUGCUUGGAUUCCAACGUAGCAUAUCUGAUGGUCAUUACAUGGUACAUUUCUUCACUUUUGGAAAUGUUAGUUUGGUAUUUGGUCCUAUGUUUGGGUACUGUAAGCUUUUUGUCACCUGGAUAAUUUCCAGUAGGUUAACAGUUAUAGAUAAUUCAUCUAAAAUAGCUUGAUAACUUAAUCUGGGUAUAUAGAAAUUGUGGUAGCUUAUUUUACUUAGCAGUCUUUUAAAUUCUUCACAUUUAAAAAUGUCCUGGAUAUAAUCUUGAACAGGAGGACUUGAAAAGUUUGCUGUGACAACCAAUUUAGAAUUUUCUAGUUCCAUGUAGCUAACUUAGAACAAGGUUGCAUAGUUUUAAUUUGUAUUAAAUUUACCUCAGAGAAAAUCUGUGGCUCAUUGAUUUCAUAAUAAUCCCGACAAGAGCAUUAACUGAUGUAAAAUGCAUUGGUCUACUUUAGUGUAAAGUACCUGGAUAAUAUUGCUUAAAUAUUAUUAAUGUAAAGUACCUGGAUAUUAUUGCUUAUAUAUAUUAGUAGUAGUAUGUAAUUUGUUUUGCCAAAGCAUUACAGAUACACUGUGUGACAAAACUCCCAUAAUGUAGUAUGUAACCUAAUCUCCGAUAAUGUAGUAUGUAAUCCAAUUGUUAAGUUUAUUUAAAUAAUUUUUCAUUUAAAUUUAAGAUUUUAUUUUUUUUUAUUUUACCCAUUGAUAUUGGAAGAAUAAACUCUAUGGCCCCAUCCCCAAGUGCAGAAAUAUCUGAACAAUUUUUAAGAUGAAAUUUUUAAGGUAUUGUUGAAAUCUUCAGACUUAAGUAUUGCAGCCAUUACUUAUUAGGAAUCUCGUUAUCGUUUUAAAAAAGUAUUGGUCAUUACUUUUUAGGAAUUUCAAGUUUUAAGCAUACAGGCAGAAGCAGAACAAAAGAAAUUACUAGACUGCUAUUCCAGUUACUUUAAAGCAUGUGUGAUAGGCUGAUUUAUAGGGUGGGUGAAUAUUUGUAGCAUUUUUAGUAUGUAGGCUGAGUGAUUGUGAUUGAUACUUAGUAUGUGAAGAUUAAUGAACUGUGUUCUAAACUGUUAAUACAGAAAUCUGUAAUUGAACUAGCUGGAAGUUAUUGCAGGGUCAAAACUUCUCUAUAAGCUCACUGCCCCACAUACCAAACUAAAUGUUCCAUUAAGAAGGUAGUACAACACAGUACCUAAACAUUUAGGAUACUGUAUUUGUCAACUAAUAUAUAUGGUUUUGGUAACAGGAUUGCUUGUGAACUGGUUCCAACCAUAUGUCCUCCUUAGGUCAGAUGAAGUAUUGUUUUUCUGCCAUACUCUUAAUCUCAAGUGAUGAGACAUCUAUUCUAGGACAAGAGCACUAAAAAUGGGCAGUAGCAAUGUCAAGUGAAAUUUACUUGAGGAAAAAUAAAUUAAAAAUUUGUUA